rnacentral:rRNA from 1 species
GCAGUGGGGAAUCUUGGACAAUGGGGGCAACCCUGAUCCAGCCAUGCCGCGUAAGUGAUGAAGGCCUUAGGGUCGUAAAGCUCUUUCGCCUGUGAAGAUAAUGACGGUAGCAGGUAAAGAAACCCCGGCUAACUCCGUGCCAGCAGCCGCGGUAAUACGGAGGGGGUUAGCGUUGUUCGGAAUUACUGGGCGUAAAGCGCACGUAGGCGGAUCGGAAAGUUGGGGGUGAAAUCCCGGGGCUCAACCCCGGAACUGCCUCCAAAACUAUCGGUCUAGAGUUCGAGAGAGGUGAGUGGAAUUCCGAGUGUAGAGGUGAAAUUCGUAGAUAUUCGGAGGAACACCAGUGGCGAAGGCGGCUCACUGGCUCGAUACUGACGCUGAGGUGCGAAAGUGUGGGGAGCAAACAGGAUUAGAUACCCUGGUAGUCCAC